rnacentral:rRNA from 1 species
GAUCAUGGCUCAGGAUGAACGCUAGCUACAGGCUUAACACAUGCAAGUCGGAGGGGCAGCAUGGUCUUAGCUUGCUAAGGCCGAUGGCGACCGGCGCACGGGUGAGUAACACGUAUCCAACCUACCGUCUACUCUUGGACAGCCUUCUGAAAGGAAGAUUAAUACAAGAUGGCAUCAUGAGUCCACAUGUUCACAUGAUUAAAGGUAUUCCGGUAGACGAUGGGG